rnacentral:rRNA from 1 species
UACGGAGGGUGCGAGCGUUGUUCGGAAUCACUGGGCGUAAAGGGCGCGUAGGCGGUUCGCUAAGUCUGAUGUGAAAGCCCGGGGCUCACCCCCGGAAGUGCAUUGGAAACUGGCGGACUCGAGUCCCGGAGAGGAGAGUGGAAUUCCUGGUGUAGCGGUGAAAUGCGUAGAUAUCAGGAGGAACACCGGUGGCGAAGGCGGCUCUCUGGACGGUGACUGACGCUGAGACGCGAAAGCGUGGGGAGCAAACAGG